UUAGGGUCGGCUUGAUAUAUUAUGAGGUUUGAGGUGAUAAGGAAGUUAGCUUGAACGUUUGACAGGUAGUAGUACUACAGAAAUCAGAUCAUCCUUAUCCUCAGUGCUUUUGUCCUCUAUAAAUACUACACCCCUUCAUUCUUUAAUUCAUUUCCACCCCUUUCAACCAACAAUAUCCUAUGAUGAGUGUGUGAGAGUGUUUUGUUUGAGGAAGUGUGUUAUUGACUAUUUUGCUUAUAAUAAGUUUUAUAAAUAGUUAUACAGAUGAUGGUUCCCAAGAGGUGUUUGAUACUUUUGAAUAGUGUGCUUGAGGAGCUAGAUCUAGUGUGAUUGGCCGAGAUGUGGAGCGGUGGUAAUGAUACCCGCCAUGACAUGAUCGAGAUUAUCUUUAUACUUUAUUUUCUUAAGUGUAGGCUUUAAAAUUUAUGUUAUGUUAUAACUCUUAGAUUGGUUCUGAAAUGUUGCAUUGUACUUUGAUGACUGGUCUUUUGACCGUACUUUUGAAAAUAAAUGUGAUAAUUUAUGUUAUGAUGCUUUA